AGUGAAUAUCUUCUGGAACAGGGGGAGUGAAUAUCUUCUGGAACAGGGGGUGUGAAUAUCUUCUGGAACAGGGGGAGUGAAUAUCUUCUGGAACAGGGGGAGUGAAUAUCUUCUGGAACAGGGGGAGUGAAUAUCUUCUGGAACUGGGGGAGUGAAUAUCUUGUUUUUCACUAUGUUCUUUGUACUAAACUAAUUAUCUUGUCAAGGCGGUUAUAAAACCAUGUAUCUUUUGGUGGCUACUUUGGAACAAAUCAAAUCACUCAUCUACAACUUGAAUUAAGUAAAUGGACUCCAAAACUGUGUUUACACAAAGAGCAUCAGUCGUCGUUGUGACGGCAGCUUUAGAGACGAAGAGUCUCUUCGGAGAGGAAGAGGGCUAAAACGGAAUAACAUGUAGUAGCGUGUGAAAAUGUUUAAUUAUGAAUUCUGGUUGAAAAAAAAAAAAAACGUUGCAGUUACAAAAUAGAGUAUUAAUAUGAUUUUUUUCUAGUUCUUUUUACUGUUUAUUUCCCUCCCAGUGGUGUUGAUGGGUUACGCAGCACUACAGACAAUAAAACAAUUAAACACCAUCCUUCCUAUCUUCCUGUUAGAUAAUGAUCAUGAGGUGGAUGUGGGAAAUAGGUCAAGAACGAAGAACUAGGCUGCUCCUCUUCCUGCUUCUCUUCCUGCUGCUCUUCCUUCACCAUGCUCUAACCCUGACACAUGCAGUCAACUUAGACUGUAGAUAUAGUAUAAAGUGCAUUCGGGAAAAUAUUCAGGACCACUUGACUUUUUCCACAUUUUGUUACGUUACUGUCACAUCCUGACUAUAGAAAGAUGUUAUUUUCUAUGGUAGAUUAGGUCAGGGCGUGACAGUUUUUUUUUCUAGUUUAGAUUUUCUAUGUUGUUAUGUUCUAGUUUUAGUAUUUCUAUAUUGGGUUUUGUUUGGGAUGAUCUCCAAUUAGAGGCAGAUGGUCAUCGUUGUCUCUAAUUGGAGAUCAUACUUAAAUAGGUGUUUUUCCCACCUGGGUUUGUGGGAGAUUGUAUUUUGAGUAUGUGUAUGUUAACUCUUCAUCACGGUUUGUUGUUUUUGUUAAUUCAGUUUAUUUUGUAUGUAUUGCAUAGUUUCACAGUUCAAUAAAAUAUGUGGAACAAUAAUCACGCUGCACUUUGGUCCGCGUCAUCCUACGACAACCGUGACAGUUACAGCUUUAUUCUAAAAUUGAUACAAUAAUUGUUUUCACCCAUAAUUACAAAGCGAAAACAGGUCUUAAGAAAUGAUUGCGAAUUAAUUACAAAUAAACAACAGAAAUACCUUAUUUACAUAAGUAUUCAGACCCUUUGCUAUGAGCCUAAGUGCAUCCUGUUUCCAUUGAUCAUCCUUGAGCUGUUUCUACAACUUGAUUGGACUCCACCUGUGGUAAAUUCAAUUGAAUGGACAUGAUUUGGAAAGGCACACACCUGUCUAUAUAAGGUCCCACAAUUGACAGUGCAUGUCAGAGCAAAAACCAAGCCAUGAGGUCAAAGGAAUUGUACGUAGAGCUCCGAGACAGGAUUGUGUCGAGGCACAGAUUCUGCACCAUCCCUACGGUGAAGCAUGGUGGUGGCAGCAUCAUGCUGUGGGGAUGUCUUUCAGCGGCAGGGACAGGGAGACUAGUCAGGAUCGAGGGAAAGAUGAACGGCGCAAACUACAGAGAGAUCAUUGACGAAAACCUGCUCCAGAGCGCUCAUGACCUCAGACUAGGGUGAAGGUUCACCUUCCAACAGGACAACGACACUAAUCACACAACCAAGACAACGCAGGAGUGGUCUCUGAAUGUGGCCUAGCCAAAGCCCAGACUUGAACCCGAUCGAACAUCUCUGGAGAGACCUGAAAAUAACUGUGCAGCACGCUCCCCAUCUAACCUGACAGAGCUUGAGAGGAUCUGCAUUGAAGAAUGGGAGAAACUCCCCAAAUACAGAUGUGCCAAGCUUGUAGCAUCAUACCCAAGAAGACUUGAGGCUGUAAUCGCUGCCAAAGGUGCUUCAACAAAGUACUGAGUAUAGGGUCUGAAUACUGUAAAAGUAAUAUUUCAGUUUUUAUUUUAUUUUUUGCAAAAAAUAUCUAAAAACUCAUUUUUGCUUUGUCAUUAUGGGGUAUUGUGUGUACGUUGAUGAGGGAAAAAAAACAAUUUAAUCCAUUUUAGAAUAAGACUGUAACGUACUGAAUACUUUCCGAAUGCACUGCAUAUCUCUCUUCUCCCUGCUUCUCUGAGAAACCUCUCCUCCCUCUAGCUCUCCCUCGAUCCUUCCCUCUCUCUCUCUUUCUUUCUCUCUCACCAGAGACAUACUGUACAUUAUUCUUCAGCCAGUGAACAUCACUAUAAAUACACCCAAUACCUUAGCAGCAGACAGGCGCUGAAGACAGGUGGGUCAGGGUGAGGAGGAGAGUUGGGGAGGGGUGAAAGAGAGGGUGGCUUGGCCAUGCCAGUGAAGAAUCACCCUGUGGUGGUAACGGUGUGGUAAAUAGUGGGUGUAGGGGGGUGUGAAGGAGAGCGUGGGUUGGCCAAGCCAUUGUGAAGAAUUACCCUGCGGGGGUGAAGGAGAGGUGGAAUCUGAAGAGCGGGGAGCAUUAACGCUUCCCUGCUGAGACUGGAGGGUGCGGAGAGAGGGAGGGAGGGAAGUAAAGAGAGAGAGAAUGAUGGUGUGAAAAGUGACCUCUGAGAGGAGGAGAGGGUGAGAGAUGGAGGGAGGGAGGAAAAGAAGUCCAGUGGGAGUUGAAAAGAGAGAGAGAGAGAGAGAGAGAGAGAGAGAGAGAGAGAGAGAGAGAGAGAGAGAGAGAGAGAGAGAGAUCCAGAUCACCUUCUCCGAGGGGAGCAGCUGUGAACAGUAUGCCCCAGGGAGGAAGGUCACAGUCAGAUGGUCCGCAGCUCACAGUCUAACUGUCUAAAGCCUGGAUUCACUUCUUUCUCAUUUGCCUCCCCUCCUUUCUCUCUGUCUCCCCUGUCUCCCUGUGCCUCCCCUGCCUUCCCCCUGCCUCCUUGGCUCAGGUCUGCAAUAACACAGCCAAUUAAGACUCUCCAGAGAGCCAGCAGCCUCAGUACAAUCUCACCUUCUCCUCUCCUUUAUCCCUGCUCGCUGACUAGGCAACCAGGGCCGUGUCAAAUCAAAUCAAAUCAAAUGUUAUGUGUCACAUACUCUGUAAACAACAGGUGUAGACUAACAGUGAAAUGCUUACAGGCCAUUUCCCAACAAUGCAGAGAGAAAGAAAAUAGAGAAAUAAUAGAAAAAUCAUAACAUGAGGAAUAAAUACACAAUGAGUAAUGAUUACCAGGCUAUAUACACAGGGUACCAGUACUGAGUAACGAUAACCAGGAUAUAUACACAGGGUACCAGGCUAUAUACACAGGGUACCAGUACUGAGUAACGAUAACCAGGCUAUAUACACAGGGUACCAGUACUGAGUAACGAUAACCAGGCUAUAUACACAGGGUACCAGUACUGAGUAACGAUAACCAGGCUAUAUACACAGGGUACCAGUACUGAGUAACGAUAACCAGGCUAUAUACACAGGGUACCAGUACUGAGUCAAUGAGUAAUGAUAACUUGACUAUAUAGAGAAAACAAAAGGGGGGAUACCUAGUCAGUUGUACAACUGAAUGCAUUCAACUGAAAUUUAACCCAACCCCUUUGAAUCAGAG
rnacentral:lncRNA from 1 species